AUUUAAGUAAAAAAGAAAUUUUAAAAUAGUCAAGUUAUAAUUAAGAUAUAUAAAAUACUUAAUUCUAAAUUUUGUAUAUAUCAUGACACCUCUAGGUCUAAAUAUUGUGUUUGUCACUGCAGAAGGUUCUAGAAAUUCAAGAUAUUAAAGAAAGUAACCUCACUUUUAUUUUUGUAUUCUUCCCAGGUGUGGACUGCGAGUCCAUAGG
rnacentral:misc_RNA from 1 species